UUAACAAUGCAAAAGUAAGUAUUUGCUCUCUCUCUUUCUCUUUUGACUGGUAAGUGGUAAAGAAUCAGUAGUUGGCCAAGAUGCAGAGUAAAAUUAUACUAUUGAAGCUGGAAAAUAUAUCGAACACAGCACGACAAGCACAAGCGAAAAACGAAAACAGCCCGCAAUUCUUUGCUUAAACUAAUUUGAACUAGAGUUUCGUAGGCCAAAACACAUAUAUACCCAGAUGGAAUCAAAGAAACUUUCAAGAUUUAAGCUGGCUUGGUGUUCAGCUACAAGUUUGUAGACUUUGCUGUACUGGCUGUCUUAAUUACAUUCUUCACAAAGUCAAGCAAUUAUAAUCUCAAGAAAGCUGCAGCAUUUGUGAAUAUUCAGGAGGGACUAUCAGCCUCCCUUGUGGUUGUUUUCAUCUACAUUUCCUAUGCUUUUCUGGGUCGCUUCAAAAUCAUUAUUUGUUCAGCGGUCUCCUACAUUUGUGGCUUGUUGGUGCUGUACUUUACAGCCUCACAUUUAUUUGCAGAGUCAAAGUCUGACAUAUUCAACAUAAUUGGAGUGGUUCUAUUAGCAGUGGGUGAAGCUGGAGUGAAGACUUUCUUAGAUGCAUUUCUUGCUGAUCAGUUGAGGGCCCAUGAACCAAAAGCAUACGAAAAUGAGGAUCGAGUAUUGGCUCGAAAAAGAAUGUGGUGGCUUGUUGCCUG